CCGCUCUUUGACCCUCGGGUUGGUCGGGGAGCCCGGUUUUGUCGGGAAAGCCGGAUCCGCGCCGGGAUGCGGACAAAGACACGGAGCAGCUGUUCGGGAAUAAAGCUGAAAUAGUAGAACCUGGGAGAGAAGUUAGCUUGGGGGAGCUAUUAUUUUCGCCGCAAAACCCUCGGGAGGUAUUAAACAGCUGCAUCCAAACGACGGAGCGACCCAAAGGCCGGGAUCCCACCGCCUCGCCGUCGAGCAGCGGGCGCGUGGCUCAGCGCACGGCCGCAGGUUCCUCUGCAAAGAGCAGCGUAGCAGAGCGGUUGGGAGAGCUGUGCUGGACAGAGGACGGCCGGCCGCGAGCGGAGCCUCCCACCGGCGAGCAUUGCCAGGCGAGGAGAGAAAACCUGGGCAGCCUUAAAACACUCAGAGUGUAAUGUGACGCUUCCAAACCUUUGCAGCCUGCGCACACACGCAGUCUUCCUCAGGGGUCCCCAAAAGGAGUUGUGCCACUCCCUGAGCAUCCCCCAGCCCAGCAUGGUGUUGGGAUGCAGGCAGAAGCCUCGGUGGGUGCAGGGCUGUGCCAGGAGCAGCCACCGUUUCUACUGCAGAUGUGAACAGGGGGUGCCCAGCUGGGUGGAAGGGCGAAAGUCUGCUCGAGGAGCCUGAAGACGCACCAUCCCCACUUAUCGCCCCAGAGGCAGGCUAUCUAGCUGACAAGCUGUGCGGUGAAAAACCAGGUGCCCAUGUGCCUGCUGCUCACCCAAGGCCUGAAAGGGAUCAGCUGCUCAUUUUGCAGAGCAAAGUAAGAUGGCAACAAGGUUUGUUUUUUUAUGUAACUUAUGUAUUGAUUGUUUUUUUCCUGUAAAACCUUCUGUAUUUUCUACUGCUGUCAAUAGAUGUGCACACAUUUCCCCAUCUUUUUUUUUUUUUCUUUUUUUUUGUCAUUCUAAGCAACAUUCAAUUAAAAUAUUUUGAGUGAAAUCUGCAGAGUUUUGGUGAGAAUGUGAAGUUUAACAGGGUGAUCGGCCUUAUUUCUGUGGUCAGGGGAUUUUUUAGCCCUAGGGUAUUUGUCUCGGUUGCGUC
ensembl:lncRNA